rnacentral:tRNA from 1 species
UCUAAUAUGGCAGAAUAGUGCAUUGAAUUUAAGCUUCAAAUAUAAACGCCAGUUUUGUUAGAA